rnacentral:snoRNA from 1 species
ACAUUGCCGAGGAUUAGAUAAACCUUUUAGCAUAGUUCAAAUCGAGACUUACUAGGUCAAUGCGAACAUAGCAACCAUCUAAUGUCUUUCGCUCCUAUAUGAGGCAAUCU